AAUCCCGAAAGCGAACGCAGGUAACCAGCGUAUGUUCAAAUUACCCUAUCGACGCUGAAAAACACCGACGCUGAAAUUUGAGCGUUUGCCUGUUUGGCGUUUUAACACCGGCGAAUAACACACUCUUGUUUCGUAUCGUCGUAGUGGAGGAGUUCCUUCCGGCUGAUCGGAAUAUCCAAGGAUUAAUCACGAUUUGCACCAUGUAGGCAAUUCCAGCCGGAAUCCCGAAAGAGAAUGCAGGUACCCAGCAGCGUAGGUAAAAAUGAUCAAACAAAAAUACCAUCGAAGCUGAAAUUCUAAUGUUUGACUCUUCUGCGUUUCAACACCGGGGACAGAACAACAAUAAUCGGCGUAUAACACCUGCAGAGCCACCGGAAACAAAAUAUUAUUUUCAUUGCCAGGCAGGAUUCUGGUACCAUAUCGCAUCCGGCUAUUCGGAAUAUUCAAGGAUUAAUCAUGAUUUGCACCAUGUAAGCACUGCUAGUCGGUAUUCCGGAAGAGAACGCUGGUGCCCAGCAGACUAAAUGAUCUAAUCGACGACAAUCAAAUGAAAAUAAUACCACCGAAGUCGAAAUUCGAGCGUUUGGCUGUUCGGCGUUUUAACACCGUCGAACGGUCAUCAAUCAGGCUGUGCUCCCAAUUGAUAGUGAUAGCUUUGGUAUUGUUUGCUGAAUUCAUCGCCAACUGAUAAAUCAACGAGAAAUAUAAAAGAAUUCAGAUAAUGUUUCUGAGCGCAGUUUUUAGGAACACCACAAACAUGAAAGUCGUCGUGAUUUUUAUAUUUGCUAUCAUUGUUGUCCACUCAAGAGUUGCCAAUGCAAAUUCUCCCGGAAAAGACCAGUGGGGAAGUUUUGGAAAACAACUAGGUGCACGCAUUACAAACGUUAUCAAGGAUGGCGACAGUUGGAGUGAUAUUUCGAGAGCGAUUCGUAACAUACCGCAAGGAUCUAGCCCCAAGGACAUCGACAUCAAUAAUCCAAAUCUGAUUUUCGAAUUAAUGAAUGCAGUCAAAAAGUUACAAACUCCUCCUGAAGCACCGAAACCAAACCUGAUCAUAAAACCAACAUCGGAGUAUGGAAAUCUAGACGUUCCAAUGGUAGCUGAAAUUGACAACAAAGUUGAUUAGUUAUAACCACCAUCAAUAAGUAUUAAGCAAAUGAUAAGCAUAAAUAUAAAUACACAAACUCGA